AAUAAACGCAGUUAUGAGUUUCCAUAUCCAACUUUGAUUGUUCGUCUUAUUUAAAAUUCUUUUAUGAUUAAUAUUUUUAUUUUUAUUAGAUUAUAAAAUAUGAAUAAUACUUUAUACAUGACUUAAGUUUUUAAGGUUCUUUUUAAAAAAAAAUAAAUAAAACAGACGAUUAAAGUUGGACACGGAAACUCAUGUCUGUGCUUAUU
rfam:Oryza rufipogon genomic scaffold, chr09